UGUUUUCCCUCAGACAACCUCUUCUUCCCCUAGGCCAGACCCCGGGGAGUGAGAACCGUCUUUGAGACCGUCGGUGGUUUAGGGUGACGAGAAAAUGGCGGAAAACAAAACCAUGAAGUGAAGAAUGCGGCGUCCCCUGACAUUUUCUAUGGCGAUACCCCCCUCCCAAUAUUCCUUACACUUGCGCGCCCCCCACCUCACCACCGCGCUCCGCCUGCGGCUAAUGGUAAAGAGAACGGUUUUCCCAAUGAAAAUAACAUAG
rnacentral:lncRNA from 1 species